rnacentral:tRNA from 1 species
GAGCUGCUGGCGAACCCGUGCCGCACCCGCCUGGAGCGCCUGGCAACUGGUCGAGGUGAGUUGGCGCGCCUGCGCAAUCUGAGGGCCGGCGCCUUGGCGGCUGA